rnacentral:rRNA from 1 species
GUGGGGAAUCUUGCGCAAUGGGCGAAAGCCUGACGCAGCCAUGCCGCGUGAAUGAUGAAGGUCUUAGGAUUGUAAAAUUCUUUCACCGGGGACGAUAAUGACGGUACCCGGAGAAGAAGCUCCGGCUAACUUCGUGCCAGCAGCCGCGGUAAUACGAAGGGGGCUAGCGUUGCUCGGAAUUACUGGGCGUAAAGGGCGCGUAGGCGGACUGUUUAGUCAGAGGUGAAAGCCCAGGGCUCAACCUUGGAAUUGCCUUUGAUACUGGCUGUCUUGAGUACGGGAGAGGUGAGUGGAACUCCGAGUGUAGAGGUGAAAUUCGUAGAUAUUCGGAAGAACACCAGUGGCGAAGGCGACUCACUGGCCCGUUACUGACGCUGAGGCGCGAAAGCGUGGGGAGCAAACAGGAUUAGAUACCCUGGUAGUCC